AACGAACGCUGGCGGCGUGUUUAAGACAUGCAAGUCGAACGGGGUGAAGUUGUAGCAAUACCGCUUCAUCCAGUGGCGCACGGGUGCGUAACACGUGAGUUACAUGCCCUGCAGUGAGGAAUAGCCCGCCGAAAGGCGGAUUAAUACCCCAUGGUUCCCGCGAGGGUAAAGGUGGCCGCAAGGCUGCGGCUGCAGGACUGGCCCGCGGCCUAUCAGCUUGUUGGCGGGGUAACGGCCCACCAAGGCGACGACGGGUACCUGUUCUGAGGCGAUGAUCAGGCAAACUGGAACUGAGACACGGUCCAGACACCUACGGGUGGCAGCAGUCGAGAAUAAUUCACAAUGGGCGAAAGCCUGAUGGUGCAACGCCGCGUGGAGGAUGAAGGUCUUCGGAUUGUAAACUCCUGUCAUCGGGGAGUAAGACCUGGGCGUGAAUAGCGCACAGGGUUGAUAGUACCCGAAGAGGAAGGGACGGCUAACUUCGUGCCAGCCGCCGCUGUAACAC
rnacentral:rRNA from 1 species